rnacentral:rRNA from 1 species
GACGAACGCUGGCGGCGUGCUUAACACAUGCAAGUCGAACGGUGAAGCGCCUUCCUUUUUGGUGGGUGUGGAUGAGUGGCGAACGGGUGAGUAACACGUGAGUAACCUGCCCCCUUCUUCUGGAUAACCGCAUGAAAGUGUGGCUAAUACGGGAUAUUCUGGGUCUGUCGCAUGAUGGGUCUGGGAAAGAUAUUGUUUCGGUGGGGGAUGGGCUCGCGGCCUAUCAGCUUGUUGGUGGGGUGAUGGCCUACCAAGGCGGUGACGGGUAGCCGGCCUGAGAGGGUGGACGGUCACACUGGGACUGAGACACGGCCCAGACUCCUACGAGAGGCAGCAGUGGGGAAUAUUGCACAAUGGGCGAAAGCCUGAUGCAGCGACGCCGCGUGAGGGAUGGAGGCCUUCGGGUUGUGAACCUCUUUCGCCAGUGAAGCAGGCCUGCCUCGUUUGUGGGUGGGUUGACGGUAGCUGGAUAAGAAGCGCCGGCUAACUACGUG